AUUUUGUGAGGUUUGCACUACAGCUAAAAACGUUGGUGCUCCUCUUCCAUCCACGACACACGAUCAAUACUCUUUAAAAGCGCUUGUAAGAGAUGGCUUUUCUAGAUGGACCAAAGCACUGGACAGAUUUAAAAUCGAAUUUGCAUCAAGAAGCUGCUAGCGCAGUAGCUGCUGCUAAUGCAGGUUUUAAUGACAAAACAUGCUGUUGGUCAGAGCGGUCAUUUUCCGGCGCCUGAAAAUUUAUCUGCAAUCUACAAUGGGACAAGCCAGGCUGAACCAUGUUGCUUUGCUGAAAUUUCACAAGACUUUGCCAAGAAAAAAGGACCUGGAUAUUAUUGCAGCCCAAUUCAUCAAGCAUAUUGCAGCAAGGAGCAACACUUUCCUCUUUAGCAAGUAACGGCAUUGGAAUGGGUGCAACAAAGAGCAGGCUAGAGGAGUUCCAAGAGAUGAAAAUGACAAUCAAAACUUCAUUCAAAGAAAAAACUAUCUUGGACUGUGGGAAGUCAUGAUGACAAAAGAGCCCUACUGCUCAGAAUAUGUGCAUAUCCUAGUCGAGAUAAUGUUGGUGCAUCCAAUAUCUGCAAGAGUCUGCGAGAGAGGCUUCUCAACACAGAACAGAAUAAAGUCAGAUGUUAGGGCAAAUCUGCACACUGACACUGUGGAGGACCUCAUCAGAAUCAGUGUUGAGGGGCCAGAAUUGAGGGAUUAUGAUGCCAGGCAGGAUGUUAAGCUGUGGUUCUCCCAGGGGAACAGAGUUAGGAGGCCCCACUACACUGCGUGCACAAUUAUUAGGCACGUGAGUAUUUUUGU